AGGCAACGAUGCAUAGCUGGUCUGAGAGGAUGAUCAGCCACACUGGAACUGAGACACGGUCCAGACUCCUACGGGAGGCAGCAGUGGGGAAUAUUGCGCAAUGGGGGAAACCCUGACGCAGCAAUGCCGCGUGAGUGAGGAAGGCCUUCGGGUUGUAAAGCUCUGUCAGAAGGGAAGAACGGCACAUUUUCUAAUAGGGAUUGUGUUUGACGGUACCUUCAAAGGAAGCACCGGCUAACUUCGUGCCAGCAGCCGCGGUAAUACGAAGGGUGCAAGCGUUGUUCGGAUUUACUGGGCGUAAAGCGCGCGCAGGCGGAUUGAUAAGUCAGAUGUGA
rnacentral:rRNA from 1 species